ensembl:lncRNA
CCCAGCGACUUAACACUGCUUUUGUGCUGCAGGGACACAAAUAUGGUGUCAUGAGGACAAUGGGGGGGUGUUGACACCAAUGCAAGCGUCAAUGCACAUUCAUGUCCAUUAAUAUGUGAAUCAGUUGCAUUUCCACAGAGGAACCUCAGAUCAAUUUAUUUUUAAUAAUAAUAAAUAUAUUUAUUUAGUAUGGCAGUAUGUAUGCAUGUAUUUAUUCUCUUUUUUUCUUAGAUGGCAAAAAAAACGUAUAUGAAUAAUAAAAGCAGAGAGGGCAGUCUGAGAAUUCAGACUUAGUGUUUGCAAGUCUUUUGCAUUUUUCAUUAAAAGAAGCAUUUUUCGUUAGUUGGGCUACACUGGUUGCACUGUGUGAUUUUGAUUUUCUAUAAGGACUGGUUCAUAAGAUUCUUUCUUUAUGAAUAAUACAAAGUCAUAGAAGUACAUUUAUUACCAUUUUUUUGCAGUACAUUGUCUUUUUAUCUCAUCACAUUGAAGCUACGAAACACUGCUUACAUUUACAUUUUAUAUAUUGUAAUAUCAUUACUCGAUUGCACCCCCCAUGCCACCCCAGUAGAUCCACUCCUGAAAACACACUAAUGCAUAAAUACAGUUUAAGUGUCAAAACGUCUCUCAAACACUAAUUUUCUCUCCCUCAGACGGAUCAUCCUCAUCGUGCUGAUGUAUAUGACCUGUUCCCAGGAACAUUUCAGACCAUAGAGAUGACUGUAGGAAGUCCUGGACAGUGGCUGCUUCACUGCCAUGUGACCGAUCACAUCCAUGCGGGCAUGGAGACGCUUUUCACUGUUCAUCCGAGAGGGUCAUCAGGUUCAUCAAGGAGUGAUGAGGAAUAUCCAGACAGUGGUAAAUAAACAUUUAUAUUCACUGCUUUGUUUAUAUUCUUAUAUGUUCAUACACAUUGUGAAAACUGUUUUGUUUUUUUCCCCAGCCUUCGGUCAUUUUGGAAACCUGUCUACUCUGAUGUUGUGUCUCCUUGGAUUGGUCCUGUCACAAUUUGUAGCACACUGAAAAAAGAUCCAAGUGACCAUGAGCCCGAUAGAACUGAUAUUUAUUGCUGUGACACUGAUGCUCACUACUUGGUUACCUCAUCUAGUAUUCUCACUGUAUAGCUGUUAGGGAAACUGUUCAGCUGUUGAGGGAAACAGCUAUUACAUAAGAUAUAAAGAUUAGUCAUUCAAUUUUGAUUUAACAUGCAAGGAAUGAUUCAUAUAAUUGCUUCAGUUAAUAGAAUCAAAGCUUAAAGAAGAAUGCACUUUACUCCCCUGCACUGCAUGUUUAUUAGGGCUCUCUGAUUGGAAGUGAGCAUCCCGAUGUGCUAGAGCAGAGCCCUUGAAAUGGGGACUUUGGAGGGAGCGGGGCUCUUGCACUGAAGGGAGCAAUGAAAGACAACAUAUUUUCUUCAUUAUCUUCACCUAGAAUGUUAGCAUGACUACAGUAUCCAUAAGCACAAUGCAUCAGCUGUACUUGCAGUAGAAUUAUACUAUGUCAGAUGCUUUCGAUUCCCAUGAAUGCACUAAUGGUGGCCACAACUGCCUCUGCUAUCUUAGUAGUGACCGAGUAAGAGUAAGUUGAGUGAUGAGUGUGUGUUACUUUCUUACUCCAUAAUUUGUUUUGUAUGGAUGGUUGCACAGAUGUCCUGGUUUUCAAUUGUUGUUUUUUAUGUGAUUUAAGAUUGCUGUGACAUUUCUAUUUCUGAUUUGGAAUAUUUAUAAUCUUAGUUGUUCACUGUUUUUCUGAUGAACGGCGGUUCAUGUUCUGGAACUGAAUUGCAAAGUUAAGAACAAAAAUGAAUAAAAUGAGCUUAACUGUGAAAGAUAACAAAAUACAAGCAUCAAAUGGUAAUAUAUUCUGAGUUUUGUAGUCCAGUAAUAAGAAUCUAUGUGUUCAUAUUUAUGUUAUGUCUUUGUACGCAGCACGACGAACAAAAAUCAGGGAGGCCAAAUUCAAUUGUUAUGGGUUCCAGCGCAUGUAGGAGUGAAGGGGAAUGAAAAAGUAGAUCAGGCGUUGAAGAAGGAAAACGUAGAAAUGAAAAUAAGAAUCAGUAAAGCAGAAGUGAGAAGCAUAAUCUGGGGAAACAAUAAACCAAAUGUGGCAAGAGUUGAGGGAUAAAGAGGGAAAAGGGAGACAUCUAUUUCAAAUUGAAAAGAGUAUUAAAGUAAGUAAGGUAGGAGUUGGGAACAGGAAAGGGAAAACUUAAUAAGAUGGAUGGCAACCGAAGAAUUGAAGAAAUAGGGAUAGAAAAUAUUACGCUUAAAACUCUGU